AAAAAGGGUCGGUUGGUUAAUUAUGCCACGUUCACCCUCGAUUGGUGAAUGCUGUAUGGCUAUCAAGACAUAUGGCCGACGUAAUUUAUGGAAACUUAAAGGGUUGGCUCCUUAGCCGACCCUAAA
rnacentral:snRNA from 1 species